AAUUACCCAAUCCUGACACAGGGAGGUAGUGACAAGAAAUAACAAUACAGGGCUUAAAGUCUUGUAAUUGGAAUGAUGGGAAUCUAAACCCUUCCCAGAGUAUCAAUUGGAGGGCAAGUCAGGUGCCAGCAGCCGCGGUAAUUCCAGCUCCAAUAGCGUAUAUUAAAGUUGUUGCAGUUAAGAAGCUCGUAGCUGAAUUUCUGCCUUGUCAUUAAUCUCGCUUCCGAGCGUUUUUUUAUUGACUUGGCAUCUUCUGGAUUUGGUGCCUUCGGGUACUAUUUUCCAGGAUUUACUUUGAGAAAACUAGAGUGCUUCAAACAGGCAUUCGCCUUGAAUACUACAGCAUGGAAUAAUGAAGUAGGACUUUGGUUCUAUUUUGUUGGUUAUUGAGCCAGAGUAAUGGUUAAUAGGAGCAGUUGGGGGCAUUCGUAUUUAA
rnacentral:rRNA from 1 species